GCAGCAGAACUAUGCCCUACAGUUACUGAAAAAUUUUAAGCCAGAGUUGUGGUAGAAGAAGGGCUUCGACUCUCUACUUUCCUCCAUGAGGUGACCAGUAUGGAAGACUCUCACUGGAACCAUCACAGUGAUGCCUGGAUUCCUGUCCUCCAAAACUUCUUCCUUGCCAGCCAUCCAAUCCUCUAGUAAAACACCAACAAAAUCAGCAGCUGCAGUCCAGUCCAGUCGGUGAUCACCCCUCACAAAUCAACAAUGGCAGUUCAAUCCAGAAGAAACAGCAAGGCUCUACCAAUCAGCACAAAUCUAUGGAGGCAACAAGAAGCUGCAGAAAUAUCAUGUGAAGUUCUUUGGCUCUACAGAAGUCUUCCCAAGAGUCCACCCUGGUGAUUCUCUUCCUCACCUGUUGACACUGAUCUAGAAGAACUGUCCUUGGUGCCCAGGGC